AUGCAAACUUUUAAUAAAUCCAAGCAACCCUUUCAUAAAUCCAAGCAAACUUUUCGUAAAUUCAAGCAACCUUUUCGUAAAUCUAAACAACCUUUUCGUAGGCGUCCCCGGAUUGGCCCGGGAGAUCGAAUUGAUUAUAGAAACAUGAGUUUAAUCAAUAGAUUUAUUAGUGAACAAGGAAAAAUAUUAUCGAGAUCAUGA
rnacentral:rRNA from 1 species